AGUGAACGCUGGCGGUAGGCCUAACACAUGCAAGUCGAACGGCAGCACAGUAAGAGCUUGCUCUUACGGGUGGCGAGUGGCGGACGGGUGAGGAAUACAUCGGAAUCUACUUUUUCGUGGGGGAUAACGUAGGGAAACUUACGCUAAUACCGCAUACGACCUACGGGUGAAAGCAGGGGAUCUUCGGACCUUGCGCGAUUGAAUGAGCCGAUGUCGGAUUAGCUAGUUGGCGGGGUAAAGGCACACCAAGGCGACGAUCCGUAGCUGGUCUGAGAGGAUGAACGGCCACACUGGGAUGGAGAAACGGUCCAGACUCGUGCGGGAUGCCGCAGUGGGGAAUACUGGACAAUGGGCUCAAGCCUGCUCCAUCCAUACCGCGUGUGUGAAGAAGGCCUUCGGGUUGUAAAGCCCUUUUGUUGGGAAAGAAAAGCAGCAGGUUAAUACCCCGCUGUUCUGACGGUACCCAAAGAAUAAGCACCGGCUAACUUCGUG
rnacentral:rRNA from 1 species